rnacentral:SRP_RNA from 1 species
GCCGAGCUUAGUAACGUGAGCUUGUAACUCAAGUGAGGGCAAAUGGAGGAGUAAGUGAGUUGUUGGAGGAGAAUCAAAGAAUCAU